CUUCAUUUUACUUAAAUGUUUUUCUUCUGACAAAUGUUCAUUGAAUGAAGAAGCGCACGAAACUUGACAAAUUUCACAAAAUAAUUUUUCAACAACUACUACAGGUUUAGAAUUUUUAUUUUCAACUUCGAUUUCUUUAUUAAUCUGUAAAACCCUCAUAUUCCUUAAAUGUUUUAUUUCUGAUAAAUGCUUUUUAAAUAAACUUUGAGAAGAGUAUGAAUCUUGACAAAUAUCACAAAAUAUUUUUUCAACAUCAGGUUCAGGUUUAGAUUUUUUAUUUUCGACUUCGAUUUCUUUAUUAAUCUGUAAAGCUCUCAUAUUCCUUAAAUGUUUUAUUUCUGAUAAAUGCUUAUUAAAUAAAAUAUUAGAAGAGAACGGAUCUUGACAAAUUUCACAAAAUAUUUUUUCAACAUCAGGUUCAGUUUCAGAAUUUUUAUUUUGUACGUUGAUUUCUUUAUUAAUUUGUGUAGCUUUUAUUUUCUUUAAGUGUUUCUUUCC